rnacentral:rRNA from 1 species
UGAGUAAUGCAUCGGAACGUGCCCAGUAGUGGGGAUAGCCCGGCGAAAGCCGGAUUAAUACCGCAUACGACCUGAGGGUGAAAGGGGGGGAUCGCAAGACCUCUCGCUAUUGGAGCGGCCGAUGUCAGAUUAGCUAGUUGGUGGGGUAAAGGCCCACCAAGGCAACGAUCUGUAGUUGGUCUGAGAGGACGACCAGCCACACUGGGACUGAGACACGGCCCAGACUCCUACGGGAGGCAGCAGUGGGGAAUUUUGGACAAUGGGCGCAAGCCUGAUCCAGCAAUGCCGCGUGCAGGAAGAAGGCCUUCGGGUUGUAAACUGCUUUUGUCAGGGAAGAAAUCUUCUGGGUUAAUACCUCGGGAGGAUGACGGUACCUGAAGAAUAAGCACCGGCUAACUACGUG